AGAGUUUGAUCCUGGCUCAGGAUGAACGCUAGCGGCAGGCUUAAUACAUGCAAGUCGAGGGGCAGCGCGGGGUAGCAAUACUCUGGCGGCGACCGGCAAACGGGUGCGGAACACGUACACAACCUUCCUUUAAGUGGGGAAUAGCCCAGAGAAAUUUGGAUUAAUACCCCGUAACAUUAUGAUAUGGCAUCAUAUUAUAAUUAAAGCUCCGGCGCUUAAUGAUGGGUGUGCGGCUGAUUAGGUAGUUGGCGGGGUAACGGCCCACCAAGCCUUCGAUCAGUAACUGGUGUGAGAGCACGACCAGUCACACGGGCACUGAGACACGGGCCCGACUCCUACGGGAGGCAGCAGUAAGGAAUAUUGGGCAAUGGAGGCAACUCUGACCCAGCCAUGCCGCGUGGAGGAUGACGGCCCUCUGGGUUGUAAACUUCUUUUAUAUGGGACGAAAAAGGGCCUUUCUAGGUCAACUGACGGUACCAUUUGAAUAAGCACCGGCUAACUCCGUGCCAGCAGCCGCGGUAAUACGGAGGGUGCAAGCGUUAUCCGGAUUUACUGGGUUUAAAGGGUGCGUAGGUGGGUUGGUAAGUCAGUGGUGAAAUCUCCGGGCUUAACCCGGAAACUGCCAUUGAUACUAUCAGUCUUGAAUAUUGUGGAGGUCAGCGGAAUAUGUCAUGUAGCGGUGAAAUGCUUAGAUAUGACAUAGAACACCAAUUGCGAAGGCAGCUGACUACGCAUAUAUUGACACUGAGGCACGAAAGCGUGGGGAUCAAACAGGAUUAGAUACCCUGGUAGUCCACGCCCUAAACUAUGGAUACUCGACAUACGCGAUACACAGUGUGUGUCUGAGCGAAAGCAUUAAGUAUCCCACCUGGGAAGUACGAUCGCAAGAUUGAAACUCAAAGGAAUUGACGG
rnacentral:rRNA from 1 species